rnacentral:misc_RNA from 1 species
AACGUCCUGAGCCUGGUCACACUGUUUUGCACUAAAUAAAUUAGGGGGCGUCUUUAAAUUGCAAAAUUUCUUGCAAAAGAAGUAUAAAAGUGCUUGGAACUGCAGUUACAAUAGAUACUAAGACUAAACGUUCUUCUCCAGAGGACAAUACCCGGAACCUUCACUAACCCAUAUACAAAAGUGCCAAUCUGUUCCCGCAAAACUGCAUGUGGUGUUUGUUUCGCUUGUUUGGUUAUUUCCCCCAACUAACUUCCUCUCUCUCUAAAAUCUCGAUUUCGUACUUGAAUUGCGCAGCUUUUGCUUUGGGAUUUUGUCCGACAAUUAGGCAGAAUCCAUCGCGAAAGACGCAGCAGUAGCAACGUUUACAAUCCGCGAAAGUGCAGUCGCAGAAUUUUCCGGCGGGGCUUCUGGCUUAACCAAUGUGGCACUUCCAAUGAGAAAUCAAUUGCAAGGCGUUGGAUGCUCUCAGUAUUGGUUAUUGGCGAGAUUGGCCCCGGGACAGCAUUACUAGACAGUUCCGAUCAGUCCGCACUAAACCCCUCCCGAUUUAGACACACACAUCCAACACAAUGGCGGAGAAGCCGCUGGCCGACUGCCCGGACUCUGGGCAGGUCCGCAAGCGACCCCGGCUGGAGGACGAGGAGCAGGAGCUCAAGGUGGCCGGCUUUUCGCUGAGCGCCAUCGAGGAAAUGCGGCGGACCAGGGACAACGAGCUGCAGAACGAACCCAUGGACCAGCAACUGCGACAGUUCCAGGUUCUCGACGAAGUCGGUUCUGGCAGCGAUGAGGAUGAUGAGUCAGACAACGCUAGCGAGCAGCAGGGUGGAAGGUAUGGAGAAGGACGCGACGAGGAGGAGGAGGCGGCUGAUGGCGACGGCGAAGAAUACGAUUCCUCGGAAUUCGAUGAUGACGAGAUCGAGAAUCUGUUGGACGAGAAGCUGCCCGACGAGCUCCGCGAGUCAAAGCAGCCCAAGUACGAGCAGCGUUUCAAGACUGUGCUGGAAGAAAAGCGGCUCAACCACUUUGAAGUCCUACCCGAGGGAUGGGUGCAGGUGACCCACAACAGUGGAAUGCCGCUCUUCUUGCACCGCAAAACCCGCGUCUGUUGCGCAUCGAGGCCCUAUUUUCUCGGCACUGGAAGUGCCCGCAAGCAUGCAGUGCCCUUGGGAGCAAUUCCCUGUCUUAACUACAGGCGGGCCUUGGAGGAAGAGUCUGAGGUGGAGCAGCAGAAAACGGAUGGAGCGCCGCCAGCUGCGGUGUGUCCGAUGACCGGAGCCUCCGCUUUACCGGCCGAAGCCAUGGACGUGGAAGGGAAAGAGAACAACGAAGGCGGCACCGAUCACAAACCCCAACCAGAUGGCAUAACUGCCCUUAUGCCGGCUGCCAAAAUUGUCACGGUCAACGAGAAUACCCAAAAGGAAUCCAUUACUCCGGAGCAACUGAACACCUACUGCCAGAAACUCUUCAAGUUCAAGGUGAUCCGUGUGCUGCGAUUUCGGAGUUGGAAUGCUCGCCGCAAGUUCACCAAAAACCGCAAGCACAUCAAGAAUAUCCAACGACCCACGCUGCCGGAUGGCACUAAGCUUAUUAAGUUCCCAAUACUAGCGACUGCUGGCGAAGGAUCAACGAACCCGCGCGGUCGGAAGGAGUGGAUCAUGAAUCCCAAUGGCAAGAGCUUCGUCUGCAUCCUGCACGAGUACGUGCAGCAUGCUCUGAAAACGCAGCCCACCUAUGAAUUCAAGGAGCUCCAAAACGCAGCCACGCCUUACUCCGCCACCGUGUCGGUGAACAAUCUCAAGUAUGGAACGGGCUAUGGCACCAGUAAAAAGCAGGCCAAGUCGGAGGCGGCUCGGGAAACGCUGGAAAUACUCAUUCCCGAUGUCAAGGACAAGAUAACGGGCAACAACAAGGACCAAAAGAGCGGCACUGCGAAGAAAGCGCAGAGCGAUCUGUCUGUUUUCGAUGACAUCCGUAUCGAAGAUCCCCGAGUCACCGAAUUCUGCAACAAGACGACGGAGCCAUCUCCCAACGCCAUUCUGCUGACUUGCUUGCAGCGCAACUACGGCAGCGAUGUUCAGAUCAGCCAGGAGAUCAACCGCACCGCGAAUAACAAGAACGAGUUUACCAUGACCGUGGGCAAGCACACUGCCAAAGUGGUGUGUAAAAACAAGCGGGAGGGCAAGCAGUUGGCUUCGCAAGCAAUUCUCCAGAUUCUGCAUCCGCACAUCCAGACCUGGGGUUCCUUGUUGCGCCUCUACGGCAACAACUCCAUAAAGACCUUCAAGGAGAAGAAGCUGGAGGAGCAGGAGAUCACCGUGCUGCAGAGCAAGGCCGCGGUCAACCAACCCAACUACGCCAUACUGGACAAACUUAAAUCCGAGAUGCUGAAACUGUGCGCCAAGCAGGAGAGCGUCCUAACCAUGGGUACUUUUGUGCCGCCAAGCGACGUCGAUCUGCCCACUUCCUCCGGGUCCAAUUUGAACAACGUCGAACUUUGAUUGGGAAACAAACAAUCUCUCUCGCCAACCUUGAUUCUCUAGUAGUGCAUGACAACCUCAUAGUCUCUCAGUUACCCACCCGGUUCCAUAUUCGAAAAGCUAAUGACAACAACGACGCGUUCUCUAGAGGCAUACGAACUGAUUUCAAAUCGGCCUUCAUCUAUCUGAGCUGGUCAAUAAUGAACAAUUACUCCGAAGUGGCUUUAGCAAGUGGCCAAAAAUGAAGAACAAUUGCCUAUCAAGUGGUUUUACAUUAAGCAUUCCAACGAGCGUGGCACACAGACAUACCUACCACGGAGAAAGCGGAGAGAGAGCGUCGCAGAGAGAAAGUCGGAGAGAGAGCGCGGGAGAGCGGCGCAGGCGCAGAUCCCGGAUUUUGCGCAGCAGCCCUGCUGCGAGAUGAAUUGUGGCGAGUUCUGACUUGCCAAUUCGCAGGCCGUAUCUGUAUCUUCAGUACGGAUUCUUCGCGUGGCGAGAAAACCACUUCCCGGCGCUCCUAUCCUCAGGACUUUCGUCUGGGAUUCAUAAUUGAAUCACAGUAACUCGGGACAGACCGAAAAAAAGUACGGGGAGAAAAACAGAAAGCCAGGAGGAGACCUCGGUGGUACAGCUGAAAAACGCCAACUGCAGUGCAGAGCAGAAUCACUUUUAUUGACAUUCGUCUUAGUUGCCCCCUCAUCCCUCGGUGCCACCAAAAAAAAGCCACUUCAUAGCCCCCAGUUCCUCGAUUCUCGACUCUCGACGUUCGAUUCCCGGUGCUCGUGUGUCGCGUGUUGCAAGUGCGUGGGUCGCCCGUCAAAUCAGUGGAUGUAGCAAGCGGUACGACACGCGCGCCGUUUUUGAUUUUUCGCCCAGCGGCCCAGAAAUCGGGCCUGGGAAAAAGUGCGGAAAUUCGGUGAAAGACGGAGCACUCGGAAAAUAAACGGAAAAUCGGGUACACACACGCACUCCUCUACGCCGUGUCCAAUGCAUUUGGCCCGCUUGGCCCAAGCACUCGGAGAUAUGUAAAUUAUGCCAAAUUCCAUUGGAAUUUCCGUCAGCGCCAGUGAAUCGGUAAGCAGCAGCCGCCGGAGCAGCAGAAGCCGGAGGACGCAGGACGCAGGACGGAGCAACAAGGACUGGAGCAACAGCAGCCGAAGGUAAGCGGUAGCGCAUUAGGCGCCAAGUGUCAGCGGAGAAUGCUGGAAAAUUCAAUAAUCCGCCGCAGGGCGCCCGAUUGUCCCCCUCGUUCCACACGUCCUCCUCGCCGUCCGCCUGCCCGUCUGCCCGAAAAACCCACUCCACGCUUGCCAUCUGGGCGCAUACCGAAUGAACUCGUGCACGGGCAGAAAAAAGUGGUUACUACUUUAUUGUGGACUGAAAAAUUGAUGGUGGGGUUGUGCUCUGAGGUCAUUGUCUUGGAAUUUGUGCAAUUUUGUGAGUUUCCAUCCAAAUAAAUCCCUACGGCUCAAAUGGAAA